CCGUAAGAAACGUCGUAAAAUUUGUCUCGACAGUGGCCACCUUCAUAUCUCGCGAUAUACCAUCUGUGAUCAACUCUGUAUGGUCUAACAUCGAUGUUCUCUUGAUUAAGUACUUGAGACAUCAGCAUUCGCUUAACAAUCUACGAAUGAUCCUGAAAUGUAAACUUUGUAUAUGUAAUUAUGUAUAUUACUGUGCAAAUACCUUCGCAGUUGGGUGACCAAGGCAAUUCCCAAACAUCUUCAGCUGUCGGAGAAGAGGACUCUUUUUCAACGUGUUCAAUAUAUCAACCAUCCCAUCAUCUGUGAUCUUGUUGUACGAGAUGUCCAGCGAUAAGAGCUUUGAAAACGGAAGAGAAAAGCUUAGCUCCCUGAAAGCAAUCGCUGUUUGGUCACUUCCUAUCUUAAUUUCAGGGUGAGAUAUUGAAGAAAACAAAUCUGGGUAGGUUUCAAUUGUUUUGAAACAAACUUUGAUUUUCAUAGAAAUGUUCAGACAAUAUGUGGCAAUCAACGUGUUAAAAAUUGUAAUACCUUGCGCCAUGAUCGGUUGCAAUAUUCCUACACAAAAUAAGGACUUUCAAAGCCGGUCUACUAGCCAGCCAACUAGCAAGAUGCAACGCUGCCAGGCUGGUGUUACCCUAUAAAAACAAAAUCUAAUAACUUACUUUCACUAAUAACUAAUCACUUAAACAUGAUUACUUUAAGCAUGUGUCCGAUGACACUGGAAAAAUGAGCAGAAUCGAAGUAAUACAUGCAUCCUGGAUUCGGUCGACUAAUGUCCAGACAUUUCAGAGUCGUAUUAGAAAUCUCUUCUUCUGGGCUCAAGACUCCAAUAAAAUAUAUUAAACUGGAAGCCGUCUGGUCCACUUGUGCGACGUUUAAGCGACGUAUACAUUCAUUUUUUAAUAAAAAUAGCGCUAGACAUUUCGACCCCUGCAAAAAUCGCUUAAUCAGGAUUUACUUGAUACAUUUAAAUGGAUUAAAUAAUAAAACGAGUAACCUCGUCGCCAAAUUUAUUUCCCAUUAAAUUCAGACUCUCGAUUUCGACGCCUUCCCCUACUUUCACCAUAUACUCGAUCCCUUUUUGCGUUAUGUCAUUGUUUUGGACGUCCAACUCUAGUACGUUCUUGUGCACCUGACACGUGUAAACAGGUUCUUAAUGUAGAGGUAGUAUAAUAAUUAUUGAGUGUAUCUUACGAGCAUGUGAUCGAGCAAAUUUAUGAAACCGUUAUCGGAGAUUUUGUUGCUUGAUAAAUUAACGUGGACAACGUCUUGGUGCCUUUUGAGGAAUAGUAACAGAGCAGGGAUGUCCACGUCCUCGAGCAAUCUCCUGUAAUUAUUCGAGAAAAAUGUAGCGUUGGAUAUAUUUAAAGGUAAAGCUAGUUCAGAGCAUAUAUUAACUCGAUUUUCUUAUGUACAUUCUUGUAAUUAUUUAUAAUUGUUAAUAUUAAAUAUAUGUAGAAGGUAAAGGUAGAUCAGAGCAUGUAUUAACUCGAUUUUCUUAUGUACAUGCACUCUUGUAAUUAUUUAUAAUUAUUAACAUUAAUCCUUUGCACUCGAGGCCUUUUUUUCUGGUAUCGGUCAGCAACUCGAGAUGCUUUCUUGGUAUUCGAUUGCCAUGAAUGUUGAGAUUAUAUUGACUUUAUUGAAUCGGGUCACUUUUGCCUCAAUGACAAUCAUUUUAUUGGCACUUCGAGUUCCAAAGAAACUAAACCUAAAGAAAACCUAGCGGAGAGUCACCUCUCGAGUGCAAAGGGUUAAGUAUAUGUAAAAGGUAGUUGGUUCGGAGCAGCUAACUCGAUUUU